rnacentral:other from 3 species
GUUCACUGCCGUACAGGUAGCUUAGAAA